ACAGAUCGCAAGCUAAAUCAUCCAUCUUAGGAGCUUGCUGGCCUGCUCUAUAGUGCUGUUGCUUAAAAAGUCAUCUGUGAAGAAAACCAGAGGGAGAAAUUUCACCUGCCAAAGUGGAUAAAGAGAUUGCAGGUGAGGAUAUUGUGGCUCAGAGAAGUAAUUCGACUUGUCCAACAUCAUAUGCAAUUGGUGGUGGAGCUAAGUGGCUCAGAAAUCAAAGAUGGGGAAAUAGAGGCCAGAAGUAGAAGAAAAUAGAAGAAACACACUUGGUGAAAUGAAAAUUAGACCCUGAAUAAAAACU
rnacentral:lncRNA from 10 species